AUAAAAUCCUGGGGUUCUUCUGCUCUUGUCCUCUUCUUGUUCAGGUCAUUCUGAAAGCUACAAGAUCCUUGUUUUGGCAAAAACCUGUUACAACAGUUGUUGCAAUUCUUACAUCACUAGCAUUGUGAUUUCUCUUACAGAAAGAGAACAGCCAUGGUGAUCUACACAGUGACGGUGUACACAGGAAAGGGUCUUCUGGCGGGCACCACUAGCCGGAUCUCCAUCCAGCUGCGCGGCGCUGAGGCUGAGAGCGAGGAACAGAGUCUAAACCACAUUCAGGGGUUAUGGCAAGCAUCGGUAAGGGCAUCAAACCAACAGGAAGGAGUUUUAGACUAAAAACCAUCAGUCAACGCUAUUUAAUUAAAGAUA